CAGUCGCCGCGGGAAUACAGAGGGUGCGAGCGUUAAUCGGAUUUACUGGGCGUAAAGCGUGCGUAGGCGGCUAAUUGAGUCGGAUGUGAAAUCCCCGAGCUUAACUUGGGAAUUGCAUUCGAUACUGGUUAGCUAGAGUGUGGGAGAGGACGGUAGAAUUCCAGGUGUAGCGGUGAAAUGCGUAGAGAUCUGGAGGAAUACCGAUGGCGAAGGCAGCCAUCUGGCCUAAUACUGACGCUGAGGUACGAAAGCAUGGGGAGCAAACAGGAUUAGAUACCCCCGUAGUCCCUGUCUCUUAUAC
rnacentral:rRNA from 1 species